AUACGGAGGAUCCGAGCGUUAUCCGGAUUUAUUGGGUUUAAAGGGUGCGCAGGCGGGAGAUUAAGUCGGCGGUGAAAUUUUGGAGCUCAACCGUAAAAGUGCCUUCGAAACUGGUUUCCUUGAGUGUAGAUGAAGUAGGCGGAAUUUGUGGGGUAGCGGUGAAAUGCAUAGAUAUCACGAGGAACUCCGAUUGCGCAGGCAGCUUACUAAACUACUACUGACGCUCAGGCACGAAGGCGUGGGGAUCAAACAGGAUUAGAUACCCUGGUAGUCCACGCAGUAAACGAUGAUUACUAGCUGUUUGCGAUACAAUGUAAGCGGCUGAGCGAAAGCGUUAAGUAAUCCACCUGGGGAGUACGUUCGCAAGAAUGAAACUCAAAUGAAUUGACGGGG
rnacentral:rRNA from 1 species